AAAUAUAUAGGAUUCUGUGAAGCAUAACCUGUAUCUGGGCACCUGGGUUAUGCGGAGAUAGUGGUGCAACCGGCCGUAGUCUUU
rnacentral:ncRNA from 2 species